rnacentral:lncRNA from 1 species
UCUACAUCGUAAUCUGUGUCCUGUCUAUCGCUGGGAAAUUCCCUUUAGCGCUUCUCAGAGAGCAGUUCUACUGGUAGUGAGUGUCUUCCUAUGUGGAUUAUCAGUAAAUGACUCUAUUUUCUUUGUUUUUAAAAGGUGCUUUGGCGGAGCAUAGCAUUCUUAGUUGACAUGACUACAAAGCUAUAGUAUGAGAGAAUCCCUGUGUCGAAGCAUGUUUGUCAGCCUGUGCCUCGGUUGGAAGCGGUGGAACCUAUAAAAAUUUCAUCUAUUUGCCUGUGAAUUUCAAGAUGUCAUUGUUUUUUACUGCUGAGUAGUACUCCAUUGUGAUGGUGAAAAUCCCUGCAGACACGAUGUCACAAAGGGCAAAGCUUCAAUCCAAAGUGACACCAUCUGUGCGGCAUGAACUCAGGAACAAGUUAAUAACGUUGUAGAUUCUGGGCCUGCAUUUAAUCUGCUUCAUCUGCUAAACAUUUGUGCUUGACAACAGUAUACACAGCAGAGUAUCAGCUGCUGAUCACAUGUCUUGCACAGAGCUGUGUCUCAUUGCUACAGCCCUUGGUCAUAAGAUACCCUAUCUUUAUCGCCAGCCUAGCAUAUCUAAAUUCUGCUUUCAUAUCCUGCCUUCUUGUGCCAGGUUUAGCAAAUAACUGAGAUAAUUUAAAUAUCAGGGCUUGUAACACCCAGAAAACAUGUUAAGACCCUCAAUACAAGACAAAUUACGACUAUCAUAGGAGGGAGUGUCAUCUCUGAGACUAGUCAACCAAGGACUGUCCUACUUGUCCUAAGAAUGGCUACCUUGAAUACCAACCUAGAGCCUUCAUCCAGUAGCUGAUGGAAGCAGAAGCAGAGAUCCACAGCUAAGUACUGAGCUGAAUUCCUGGAAUCCAGCUGUAGAGAGGGAGACGUGAUGAGCAAAGGGGUCAAGAACAGGCAGGAGAAACCCAGAGAAUACAGCUGACUUGACCAAGUGGGAUCACAUGGACUCCAGUUGUAAAACUGGGGAACUAGCAUUGGACUGAACCAGGCCUUCUGAAUGUGGGUGUCGGUUAGGAGGCCUGGGCUGUCUACGGAACCUCUAACAGUGGAACCAGUAUUUAUCCCUAGUGCACAAAUGGACUUUGGGAGCCCAAUCCCCAUGGAAGGGGUUACUUUCUCAGCCUAGGUCCUCCCCCAAAUGAUAUGACAGACUUUUAAUGAUCCCCCUUGAAUGCCUC